CUCCCAACAAUAAAGUUUAUUUUCUGCUUCAGAACUAAACUUGCUACUGUUAUGAAGUGUAAAGAAAAUGCUAUGUUUUACAGUAGUCUUUGUCAGCCACUAUGAAAGGAUCAUGAGACACCCCCAACCUGGGUUUGACCCCCAGGUUGAGAACAACUCUUCUAGAAUGUUUGCACCCUGACUCUCAAGAUUGCUUUAUGUCUUUCUCAAGCAGUGGAUCAGCAGACAACCCUUCACACACCUCUCUGACAUCCUUCCCCUUGUAUGUAUGUACAUAUGCCUAUCUUGUCACCCUGUGUGUUGUCACUAGGCAUCUUGUGUCUCCCUACAAGAAGAGAGUCCUUAGCAGACAUGCUGUGUUUACUGACUUACAUCUCUCACAGAGGAAACAUUCAGCUAGUGCUUUCAAACAAAUCAGUCAGGAACUUAAACUCCAUCCUAAGCAUAAUUUCUAUUUACUUUAUUUUUUGGACACAUGUUGAACAGUCAGGUCUCAUUCAGUUAUUGAUGAAGCUAGGGUAGUUAUUUACUCCUUGGGUUCUUAUCUCAGGUUAUAUAUGAAGUAAGUGGUAGUGUACACUUUCAAGAUUAUUACAUAGAAACACAUACUAUACCAUACUUCAGAUCACAGAACUGAAUAUAUAUAUAUAUAUAUAUAUGAGGAUUUUAUGACCAAAAGAAUGUCUACCCAUAAAUUUUAACGUUCAUUUUUAUUUGCCAAACAUGAAUAAAGUAAAAAUACUCUAUCUCAUAUUUGUUAGAAAUUAAUUUUAUAGCAUUAUGAGUUAAUACCUACACUAAAAUUCUUUGCCCAAAAUUUUGAUCUCCAGUGAUUAUGAUCCUAUUUGGCAAUAAGUAUAUAUAAAUAAAUAUCACCAAUAAUUUGCAAGUUAAAUAUAGUAUAUAUUAAAAACCAUAUGCCAUGAUCAAGUGGGCUUUAUCCUGAAAACGCAGAGAUAGUUCAACAUACGUACAUCAAUAAAUGUAAGAAAUAAUACCAAUGGUCUUAAAGACAAAAAUCACACAAUCAUCUCAAUUGAUGCACAAAAAGUCUUUGACAUAAUCCAACAUGCCCACAAGAUAAAAGUCCUAGAGAAAGUAGAACUGGAGAGAACAUACUUCAACACAAUAUAAAGUAUAAUGAUAUGAUAAACCCUCAGCCACCAUAAUCCUAAAUGCAAAACCUAGAAACAGCCCUUUUAGAACAAGAGCUAGACAGGGAUAUCCACUACCUGUACUCCUUUUUCAUAUAGUGGUUAAAGCACUAGCUAGAGCAAUUCAAUAAGAUAAGAAAAUUAAAGGGGUGCAAAUAGGCAAAGAAGAAGUCAAAUGAUCUCUGCUUGUUUUGAUAUAAUUAUUACACAUAAGAGAUGCCCAAAAUUUCACCAGGAAACUUAUAGAAAUGACCAAUAAAUUCAUCAAAGCAGCAAGAUACAAAAUCAACUUUUAAAAAAAAAAAUCAGUAACCUUUCUAUGCACCAACCACAAACAUGAAAAGAAAAAGAUCAUAGACACAGUUCACUCCAUAAUGAGGCUACAUUCAAAGCAGUCUCAAUGAAAGUUACAAGAAAUAAGCUCAAUAAAGAAGGUGAAAGACCUCUACAGUGAAAUUUACAUCUCUGAAGAGACUAAGGAAGACACUAGAAAAUGGAAAGCCAUCACUUGCUCAUAGAUUGAUAUAAUUAAUACUAUCAAAAUGACCAUUCUACCUAAAGUAGUAGAUUAAAGUGUAAUCCCAAUCAAAUUCUCAUCUCUUUCAUAGAACUGGAAAGC
rnacentral:lncRNA from 1 species